rnacentral:rRNA from 1 species
AUGGAGAGUUUGAUCCUGGCUCAGGAUGAACGCUGGCGGUAUGCUUAACACAUGCAAGUCGAACGAGAGUUUUUAACUCUAGUGGCGAACGGGUGCGUAAUACGUGAGAAUCUGCCCUUAGGAGAGGAAUAACUGUUGGAAACGGCAGCUAAGUCCUCAUAUGCCGAGAGGUGAAAAGUUUCGACUGCCUAAGGAUGAGCUCGCGCCUGAUUAGCUUGUUGGUAGGGUAAUGGCCUACCAAGGCCACGAUCAGUAGCUGGUUUGAGAGAAUGAUCAGCCACACUGGGACUGAGACACGGCCCAGACUCCUCCGGGAGGCAGCAGUGAGGAAUUUUCCGCAAUGGGCGAAAGCCUGACGGAGCAAUACCGCGUGAGGGAUGAAGGAUUUUGGUCUGUAAACCUCUUUUUUCAAGAAAGAAGCUCUGACGGUACUUGAAGAAUAAGCAUCGGCUAACUCCGUGCCAGCAGCCGCGGUAAUACGGGGGAUGCAAGCGUUAUCCGGAAUCAUUGGGCGUAAAGCGCCUGUAGGUUGUUUAGUAAGUUUGUUGUUAAAGACUAGGGCUUAACCCUAGGAAAGCGAUGAAAACUAUUAAACUUGAGUAUGGUAGGGGUAGAGGGAAUUUCUAGUGUAGUGGUGAAAUGCGUAGAUAUUAGAAAGAACACCGGUGGCGAAAGCGCUCUACUGGGCCAUUACUGACACUGAGAGGCGAAAGCUAGGGGAGCAAAAGGGAUUAGAUACCCCUGUAGUCCUAGCCGUAAACGAUGGGUACUAGGUGUUGUGUUUUAUAUACAGUACCGUAGCUAACGCGUUAAGUACCCCGCCUGGGGAGUACGCUCGCAAGGGUGAAACUCAAAGGAAUUGACGGGGACCCGCACAAGCGGUGGAGCAUGUGGUUUAAUUCGA